CAAUAUGAAGGCCAGGCUGAAGACUUUGCCGGAUUAGCUGAGAGGUGGUGCAUGGCCGUCGUCAGUUCGUACUGUGAAGCAUCCUGUUAAGUCAGGCAACGAGCGAGACCCACGCCCACAGUUGCCAGCGUACUCUCCGGAGUGACGGGGUACACUGUGGGGACCGCCGCUGCUAAAGCGGAGGAAGGAAUGGGCAACGGUAGGUCAGUAUGCCCCGAAUAUCCCGGGCUACACGCGAGCUACAAUGGUUGGUACAAUGGGUAUCUACCCCGAAAGGGGACGGGAAUCUCCUAAAACCAAUCUUAGUUCGGAUUGAGGGCUGCAACUCGCCCUCAUGAAGCUGGAAUCCGUAGUAAUCGCGUUUCAACAGAACGCGGUCGAAUACCGUCCCUGCUCCUU
rnacentral:rRNA from 1 species